rnacentral:rRNA from 1 species
AUGAACGCUGGCGGCGUGCCUCAUACCUGCAAGUCGCGCGAACAGAUAAGGAGCUUGCUCCUUUGACGUUAGCGGCGGACGGGUGAGUAACACGUGGGUAACCUACCUAUAAGACUGGGAUAACUUCGGGAAACCGGAGCUAAUACCGGAUAACAUUUGGAACCGCAUGGUUCUAAAGUGAAAGAUGGUUUUGCUAUCACUUAUAGAUGGACCCGCGCCGUAUUAGCUAGUUGGUAAGGUAACGGCUUACCAAGGCGACGAUACGUAGCCGACCUGAGAGGGGGAUCGGCCACACUGGAACUGAGACACGGUCCAGACUCCUACGGGAGGCAGCAGUAGGGAAUCUUCCGCAAUGGGCGAAAGCCUGACGGAGCAACGCCGCGUGAGUGAUGAAGGGUUUCGGCUCGUAAAACUCUGUUAUUAGGGAAGAACAAAUGUGUAAGUAACUGUGCACGUCUUGACGGUACCUAAUCAGAAAGCCACGGCUAACUACGUG